GCUUGUUUCCUGUGCAUAUACUAAACUUGGAAAGAUAAAGAGAAGAUUGUCAUGGCCCCCGCACAGGGAUGACACACAAAGUUCUGAAGUAGUCCAUAUUCUA
ensembl:snRNA U6 U6 spliceosomal RNA